AGGAAGAAAGGAAGAAAGGAAGAAAGGCAAAAAAAAGAAAACAAAGAAAAAAGAAAGGAGGAUGAUUCUGUACAAGUCACUGUGCAUUCUAGCCUCUAAGGAUUUAGCUGAUAGGACUUUAGCUGUUAAGCAAAAUCAUGUAGCAAUGUAUAACACGAUAAGUUUAUAUUACAUAAUAAAAUCUGUCGAUAAAGAUUCAUUCGAACAAUAUUUUUCACUUGUGACGUAUUCGUAUAAUCAAUAAAAUAGCUAUAUUGUUUCAGGAAUACUGGCCAGUGUCGAGUUCUUUCACCCGGUCAUUCUUCGCUAUCCCUGUAUGCGACCUAUACAUAUUACCUAAUACUUGAUACGGAUAUCCAGACGUUAGUAUUAAUGUUCAUUAAAAGAAAAAGAAAAAGAAAAAGAAAAAGAAAAAGAAAAAAAAAAUCAAACGAAAACUAAAGGAUAAGAUUUGGAGAUUCUCGUUAACGAUUUGAUCCUUGGACCGACAAUAUUAAUAAUCGUCCCAACGGAGCAGUUCGGAGCGGUAUGUGGAGCCGAGUGGACCGUUAUCGCAAACUCGCGACUCCAACUCCAACCAUGGAAAUAUGAUCCUGGAAAAACUUACCACCAACUUGCUGAUAACGCAAGGUCCCACCGCUAAUUGCCAUCGUAAUUAACGCGAGCCACCGUCGUAAAUGGCUGUUCUUGGAAAUGAACGUUCCUGAUGGACCACCGUAGACAAACAGAGUGUCGAUUAACUGAAUUCCAGGCUGCGAGUGAUUACGUAAACAAACUUUCAUUCCAGUAAUUGUAGCGG